rnacentral:lncRNA from 1 species
AGACAUCUGGGCUGCUAGCUGCAUGAAGGAGCUACCCGCUGUGGGUCUCCUCUUUGCUGACAGCUGGACACUUGACAGAAUGACCUGCCUGAACUCGGGACCUGCAGAAUGAUGGGACUGAAGAAGCUGUAACACAAACAGGGCUAAAACACGCACUCUCCUCCCCCUGCUCCCCACCGCCCCACCCACUUGCCACAUUGGAGGUGAUGAGAAGGAGAGAAGAGCUGUGGCCUUUCAGGGAGCAUAGUCCCAGGGGCUCCCUGAGCCAGGGCUGUGAAACCCUCUUCCGGGCACUGCAGUUCCUGGCAUCUCCAAACUUCUGAGUGCCACCGCAUUCCCCGCGUCCGGAUGCAGGUCAAUGCACAGAAAGAAAUCUCUCUCCUGACUUUAGUACAAUGGCACGAUUGGUGGCCACAGUCCAAGGAUGGUUGCUGGGGCACCAAGAGAUUUCUGACAAAGGGCAUUAAAACUGAGAAAGUUUGGGAACCUCUGAAUGCUGUAGGACUUGCAUUUACGUUCUAACUGAGCUUGUUGGACACUGAAAUGGAGGAAGAAUCACAAGCCAUUUUCAAACCUAUACCCUACAUCGUGGCAGAAUAGAUUAUCCAAGAGAAGGUCAGGAUAGAGUGCAGCAAUGAUCGGAAGUGGUGUCUUCAAUAAGAUGGGACUGGAUAUAGAUGGGAAGAAGCACAAUGGAAAGAAGAAUAUUCCAGAUCUUACAAAUGUGGAAAGCACUCA